rnacentral:sRNA from 1 species
CUCAACCGUAAGGAGGGGGAUGCCUAAGGCAGGGCUAGUGACUGGGGUGAAGUCGUAACAAGGUAGCCGUACCGGAAGGUGUGGCUGGAUCACCUCCUUAAGGGGAGACCUAAUUCGGGUAUAAGACGAAAAAAUAGUAGUCGAAACCAAGAAUCAAUCCCAAAAGGUCGGAACGAGGUAUGUGGCUUUCAAACUAGGUUCUGGGUUCACACAAGACCUGAAUCAGGAACAAGGGCUAUUAGCUCAGGUGGUUAGAGCGCACCCCUGAUAAGGGUGAGGUCCCUGGUUCGAGUCCAGGAUGGCCCACCUGCCCAGGUGGCAAAAACAAAGAAGAGAAGCUCCGAAUCAGCACCUUAUCUUAUCUAUAGAUAAGAGAGAAUGCUGGCUCUGAGUUCAGAGUCCAGAGGAACCUUGAAAACUGCAUAGAGCUAGGUGAAAAAGCCAAAAAAGAAGACCGCAAGGUCAAGCUAAUAAGGGCUAACGGUG